rnacentral:misc_RNA from 1 species
UUUCCGUAGGUGAACCUGCGGAAGGAUCAUUCAUAAUAAGUGUUUUAUGGCACUUUUUUAAAUCCAUAUCCACCUUGUGUGCAAUGUCAGGGUUGAUUUUUCUCUCGAGAGGAUCAACACCAAACAUCAACUAUAUCUCAACUCUUUGUCUGAAAAAUAUUAUGAAUAAAACAAUUCAAAAUACAACUUUCAACAACGGAUCUCUUGGCUCUC